rnacentral:rRNA from 1 species
UAGGGAAUCUUCGGCAAUGGACGAAAGUCUGACCGAGCAACGCCGCGUGAGUGAAGAAGGUUUUCGGAUCGUAAAACUCUGUUGUAGAGAAGAACAAGGACGUUAGUAACUGAACGUCCCCUGACGGUAUCUAACCAGAAAGCCACGGCUAACUACGUGCCAGCAGCCGCGGUAAUACGUAGGUGGCAAGCGUUGUCCGGAUUUAUUGGGCGUAAAGCGAGCGCAGGCGGUUUCUUAAGUCUGAUGUGAAAGCCCCCGGCUCAACCGGGGAGGGUCAUUGGAAACUGGGAGACUUGAGUGCAGAAGAGGAGAGUGGAAUUCCAUGUGUAGCGGUGAAAUGCGUAGAUAUAUGGAGGAACACCAGUGGCGAAGGCGGCUCUCUGGUCUGUAACUGACGCUGAGGCUCGAAAGCGUGGGGAGCAAACAGG